UAGAUUCCUGAUCCAGGAGGAUCCCACAUGCCGAGGAACAGCUAAGCCUGUGCGUUACAACCAUUGAGUCUGUGCCCUAGAACCUGGGGAUCGCAACUGCUGAGAUCAUGUGCCACAACUCCUGAAGCCCGCGCACCCAGAGUCCGUGCUCCGCAGUAAGAGAAGCCCGAGGUUGACACAAGCUGAAGCAAGCUGCCACCUGGAAAGACUCAGACAGUCCAGAGCUGAGGUUGACCUCUGGGCAGCAGUCAUCAAGGAACUAAGGCUCCCAGUGCAACCACGAGUGAGGAGGUGAAUCUUGCCAAAACCGUGAGAUGGAGCUUUGAAUCAGCCCCUUCUCCAAUUCAAGCUUCAGAUAAGACUGCAGCCUUGGCUGAAACCUUGGCACAGCCUUGCGAGAAACUUGAAGACAGAGGACCCAGCUGGGCUGUGGAUUCCUGGAAAUCCAGGUUCCUGACUGAGAGAAACCGUGGGAAACAAUAACUAUUGGGUUUUUGUUGUUGUUUUGUUGCUGUUUUGUUUUUGGCCACGCCUGCAGCUUGCAGAAUCUCAGUUCCCUGACCA